rnacentral:rRNA from 1 species
AGAGUUUGAUCAUGGCUCAGGAUGAACGCCGGCGGUGUGCCUAAUACAUGCAAGUCGAACGCGUUGGCCCAACUGAUUGAACGUGCUUGCACGGACUUGACGUUGGUUUACCAGCGAGUGGCGGACGGGUGAGUAACACGUAGGUAACCUGCCCCAAAGCGGGGGAUAACAUUUGGAAACAGAUGCUAAUACCGCAUAACAAUUUGAAUCGCAUGAUUCAAAUUUAAAAGAUGGCUUCGGCUAUCACUUUGGGAUGGACCUGCGGCGCAUUAGCUUGUUGGUAGGGUAACGGCCUACCAAGGCUGUGAUGCGUAGCCGAGUUGAGAGACUGAUCGGCCACAAUGGAACUGAGACACGGUCCAUACUCCUACGGGAGGCAGCAGUAGGGAAUCUUCCACAAUGGGCGCAAGCCUGAUGGAGCAACACCGCGUGAGUGAAGAAGGGUUUCGGCUCGUAAAGCUCUGUUGUUAGAGAAGAACGUGCGUGAGAGCAACUGUUCACGCAGUGACGGUAUCUAACCAGAAAGUCACGGCUAACUACGUGCCAGCAGCCGCGGUAAUACGUAGGUGGCAAGCGUUAUCCGGAUUUAUUGGGCGUAAAGCGAGCGCAGGCGGUUUGAUAAGUCUGAUGUGAAAGCCUUUGGCUUAACCAAAGAAGUGCAUCGGAAACUGUCAGACUUGAGUGCAGAAGAGGACAGUGGAACUCCAUGUGUAGCGGUGGAAUGCGUAGAUAUAUGGAAGAACACCAGUGGCGAAGGCGGCUGUCUGGUCUGCAACUGACGCUGAGGCUCGAAAGCAUGGGUAGCGAACAGGAUUAGAUACCCUGGUAGUCCAUGCCGUAAACGAUGAGUGCUAGUGUGUUGGAGGGUUUCCGCCCUUCAGUGCCGCAGCU